rnacentral:misc_RNA from 1 species
UCCCAUGAAACAAGGGACUUUACAAGAGGCAUAUAAAGAUCUCCAACUCUGUUGGUGCCUUUGAAAUUAAUCUCCUGCAUUUCUUCAGCUUCAAAGUUGUAAAUAUGUAACAAAGGAUAUCCUUCUUCUCUCUGGAAAAAUAUCUCCUUAGUCGACGCGCAAAGGGGAAUAAAUCUUGUGAUAUCAUAUAACCUGUUGAUACUGUACCUCUUUAACCAACUCCCAUUCUUCAGUAUCCAUACCUGAAUCAAGUUCAAUGUGGCAUGAGUUAUGAAGCUCAGGGACCCUCCGAUUUCAACGAGUCGAUCGUUUUUCGUGCUGCUGAUUGGUAGAGGUACAGUUAGG